rnacentral:tRNA from 1 species
GAGGAUAUAGCUCAAGUGGUAGAGCACAUGUUUAGCAUGCAUGAGGUCCUGGGUUCUAUCCCCAGUACCUCCU